UACGGAGGGUGCAAACGUUGCUCGGAAUCAUUGGGCGUAAAGCGCAUGUAGGCGGUCCAGCAAGUCGGGUGUGAAAGCCCUCGGCUUAACCGAGGAAGUGCAUUCGAAACUACUGGACUUGAGUACUGAAGAGGGUCGCGGAAUUCCCGGUGUAGAGGUGAAAUUCGUAGAUAUCGGGAGGAACACCAGUGGCGAAGGCGGCGACCUGGGCAGAUACUGACGCUGAGAUGCGAAAGCGUGGGGAGCAAACAGG
rnacentral:rRNA from 1 species